rnacentral:lncRNA from 1 species
CAUGGGGGUUUGCCCAGGGUCUCCCCUCUGGUGUGUGUGCGCUCUGUGUCCUCCUUUCUCUUUGUUCUCUGUUUUUUUUGUUGCUCUCUUCUCCAUGCACACCAGUCGAGCACGGAUCGUGGACAUCGACAACAACGAAAUCUCGCGCCUAAAGGUAUUAUCUGCCCAAGUCUAUAUUCUUUUAGUUAAUAUUCAUCAUGGUACCCAGAUCUGCAAAUUUCACACCAAAUUCACACGAACACCUAUCUAAACAUGGUACUUAAAUCUGCAGCUACACGAUUAAUUAGUUUUAUGCGGUUUUAUUUAUCUUAAUUAACAAGGGAUUAAGCUUAUUGGGUUAUAUUAAGCAUAACUGGGGACUUGAUAGGGCUUGGUAAUAAUUUUUGUUUAC